UCUUCCAUAGUGUAGUGGUAUAUCAUAUCCGCCUGUCACGCGGGUGACCCGGGUUCGAAUCCCGGUGGGAGAG
rfam:chromosome III of strain GB-M1 of Encephalitozoon cuniculi (Microspora)